CUGUACUAGAUGGGGAGGUAGCGGUGCCCUGUAACCUGCAAUCCGCUAUAGCAGGAUUGAAUUUCCAUCUAAAGGCUUAUUUCUGAUAGGGCCGCCCUAAAUAAGUGGUGUUGAUGCUUAGGUCCUGCGACAAUGAAAGCUCAUGAACCCCGUCAGAUCC
rnacentral:SRP_RNA from 1 species